rnacentral:rRNA from 1 species
AUGGUUGUCGGUCAGCUCGUGCCGUGAGGUGUCGGCUUUAAGUGCCAUAAACGAGCGCAACCCCCUGUUCUUUAGUUGCCAUCAGGUGAUGCUGGGCACUCUGGGGAAUACUGCCACCGUAAGGUGUGAGGAAGGUGGGGAUGACGUCAAAUCAGCACGGCCCUUACGUCCGGGGCUACACACGUGUUACAAUGGGGGGUACAGAGAGUCGGAUAUACGCAAGUAUGUUCUAAUCCUUAAAGCCUUCCUCAGUUCGGAUUGGGGUCUGCAACCCGACCCCAUGAAGCUGGAUUCGCUAGUAAUCGCGCAUCAGCCAUGGCGCGGUGAAUACGUUCCCGGGCCUUGUACACACCGCCCGUCAAGCCAUGAAAGCCGGGGGCGCUUGAAGUCCGUGACCGCAAGGAUCGGCCUAGAGCGAAACUGGUAAUUGGGGGUAAGUCGUAACAAGGUAACCGUA